rnacentral:rRNA from 1 species
GACGAACGCUGGCGGCGUGCUUAACACAUGCAAGUCGAACGAAAAGAGGGAAAGAGCUUGCUCUUUCCGGAAUUGAGUGGCAAACGGGUGAGUAACACGUAAACAACCUGCCUUCAGGAUGGGGACAACAGACGGAAACGACUGCUAAUACCGAAUAAGUUCCAAGAGCCGCAUGGCCCAUGGAAGAAAAGGUGGCCUCUACCUGUAAGCUAUCGCCUGAAGAGGGGUUUGCGUCUGAUUAGCUGGUUGGAGGGGUAACGGCCCACCAAGGCGACGAUCAGUAGCCGGUCUGAGAGGAUGAACGGCCACACUGGAACUGAGACACGGUCCAGACUCCUACGGGAGGCAGCAGUGGGGAAUCUUCCGCAAUGGGCGAAAGCCUGACGGAGCAACGCCGCGGGAGUGAUGACGGCCUUCGGGUUGUAAAACUCUGUGAUCCGGGACGAAAAGGCAGAGUGCGAAGAACAAACUGCAUUGACGGUACCGGAAAAGCAAGCCACGGCUAACUACGUG